AUUGAACGCUGGCGGAAUGCUUUACACAUGCAAGUCGAACGGCAGCACGGGGGCAACCCUGGUGGCGAGUGGCGAACGGGUGAGUAAUAUAUCGGAACGUGCCCAGUCGUGGGGGAUAACGUAGCGAAAGCUACGCUAAUACCGCAUACGAUCUACGGAUGAAAGCGGGGGAUCGCAAGACCUCGCGCGACUGGAGCGGCCGAUAUCAGAUUAGGUUGUUGGUGAGGUAAAAGCUCACCAAGCCUGCGAUCUGUAGCUGGUCUGAGAGGACGACCAGCCACACUGGAACUGAGACACGGUCCAGACUCCUACGGGAGGCAGCAGUGGGGAAUUUUGGACAAUGGACGCAAGUCUGAUCCAGCAAUGCCGCGUGCAGGACGAAGGCCUUCGGGUUGUAAACUGCUUUUGUACGGAACGAAACGGUGAGCUCUAAUACAGUUUGCUAAUGACGGUACCGUAAGAAUAAGCACCGGCUAACUACGUGCCAGCCGCCGCGGUAA
rnacentral:rRNA from 1 species